AUGAAGAAAGAUGCCUUAGGGAUCUGCCGGGACCCGCCGNNNNNNNNNNNNNNNNNNNNNNNNNNNNNNNNNNNNNNNNNNNNNNNNNNNNNNNNNNNNNNNNNNNNNNNNNNNNNNNNNNNNNNNNNNNNNNNNNNNNGCUGGCGUUGCGACGUGGGCGGACGUGUGCGCGGGCUUUCCCAACUUGAACGAUUCUACGGUUUUCAAACGCGCGCUUUUAACAGAGUUUUGCCUUGGGCGGAAAGGAUUUGCGUGUUUGAAUGUAAAGCGCGUGUUUUGUGGCUGAAGCGUUCGGUGAUGUCCGCGGUCGCUGACGGGCUGCUCGCCUCCGUUCUCGCCGAGAUAAGGGGCGUGCAGGAGGGACGCGGGCGAGGCCGUGGGAAGCGAACGUCCCGCUGCCGAAUGGGACGGAAUGGAGCCUGUUGGGACCUUCCAGUAACGGUGAACUUCUGUAGCGGAAUCCCUGUAAUAUUCCUGCUGAAUACCUCGGGGAACGUUAACGUUGUGAAUCCAUCUGCAGAGCUUUAUGGGCUUAUGUAAAUAGGCUCUAUAAAAGAGCUAAUCAAGAGCAGUGUAUUAAAAAGUCAAUAAAACCCAAACCCAUUUCAGGCUUUUCAUCAUCAGUGCCAAUGUGAAACGUGUUGUCCUUAACCUUAUUCUACUAGAGUGUGAUAUUUGUUGUGGGCACCUGUGGUGUAGGAAUGUUUGCUUCUCUUUGAAGAUCUUUGUGCCUGCGUGUUCCUGGAGGGGAUGUGCUGCAGGCACGUGGAGGCCAACAGCUGUUAGACUGGAUCUUGUGAGGAAAUCGAGGGACACCCUCUAGUGAUGGUGGUUUUAUUUUACAGAAACACUUUUUUCCAAGAAUAAACAGCACAGCAGUGCACUGAAAGGAGAAUUGGCCAUUAGUUCCUUUCUGAAAAGUUUUUGUUUCCUCAGAGAUCUUGCUCAAUAAAAAUUCACUGUUAUUUCUUCUGAGAUCCGUGUUUUCUGGAAUUCUGUUAGCUUUGUUAUGAUGGAACGAGAGCACAUGGUGAUCUGAAUUAAAGUGGUUUACUUAAUAGCAAUACAGGUCAUCAGUCUGUUUUGUUUUCCGAAGACACUCAUCUUAAAAAAGGAAUAGCUCUCCACUUCUUGUAUUGCUUUCUUGUUUAUAGUGCCUCUGUGGUGUUAAAAUACACGCACGCAAACCUUUUUAUGAAAAGGGGACUGUAUUUUAAUGCAAGUGGGUGAUGGUAAACAGCUGCAGAACUUUGAGUUUGUGACGUCCCUCAAGGGUUUGCUUUCUUCCAUGCUUGCGUUAUACAUUCACGUUCUCAUUCUGGUCCCAGUAUGACAAACUUUCCUCAAAAAAAAUAUAACGUAUCUAUUUCUUCUUUUCAUAGGCAGAGCAGAUGUUGUUUGUUCCUGUUGGUCUUCAGCAGUUCAGUCAGACUUUGCUCUUUAUUAUUCUAAUGCAAUCAAUGAUAGAACUUUACUGUUUUCAUUUAGUAUCAUUGUACAGUCAGUGAAUGUACAGAUGUUAUAGUUAUGAGAUGUACCAGAGAGCUUGGCCAUGCAGUUAUUACACCAAAGCAGAAAAGAUAGGACGCUUACCCAUAUCCUGGGCUCGCUUAUGAAACUCUAGCAGAGUGGAUCUCCAGAAGGGAUCCUUUCCUACUGGCAGUCAGCUCUUAAAUGGGUCUAGGAGAGGUGCAGCAGGCUCCACCCCUUUCGGCAGCACAGGAGAAUUGUCUUCACCUGUGCUCCCGUGGCUGACUCAUUGCUCGCCUCAGGUGGUCAAUCAAAGGUUCAGGCCGUGAUUCAGCAGUUCCCAUGCGGUCACGUUGGGAUACAUUUUAGAUGCCUGUAUACCUUUCUUAAAUUGAAAAAUGUGGCAAUAUAUCAGUCCAGCAGUCAGAAUAACAAAAUUCCAAAUUUUGUCUAUCUAGCUACUCAUAUCUGUAUGGAGUGAAAUACAGAUCCAUUGUAGGAUAAUGGUGUUUCCAGUGUAAAACACAGUGUGAACUGCUUUGAUGCGGUCCUGAAAAAGUGAUCUUGCAGCAUAGUGCUCUUGUAGAUGUCUGUCUUCUCCCGCUUCUUAAGUAUAUCUUAAAGCUAAGAAAAAAUUACUUGAUUGUAGAGCCCGUUCACAUAAGCAGGAUAAAAUUCCAUGCACAGAGAAAUAAAGUAAACAUUUGUGUGAUCUUUCUUCCAAGGAGCUACAGAAUCUCACAGUAAUUGAUGCGUUUAUUUAAUUUUGCCACAACUAUUGAAGGCUUAAAAUAUUUUUCGUUUCAUACAAAAAGCAUCAUUCCCUUGUUAUCACAAGGUAUUGAUUCAUUCAUGAAGAAAAUUUUCUACAUGUGGAACAUCAGUUCUGCAGAUGCUGUAAGCGAUGGCUGAGUAUUUCUGCACUAUUUUUGAAUGUUUACGUUGUUCACUCUAACCUGACUUGUCUGGAAGCAUUUACAGGGAAUUGUCAUGUAUUUCAGGAAAUUGAAAGCAGAUUCUUAUCUGUUGUUUGGCAUUUUUGAUUAAUUGGGAUGAAAUUGAAAUGAAACAAUUGCUCCAAUGAAGUAUAGUAUGUUCUUACACACUGGAUUAGGAUCACUUUAAACACAAAAAAAUACCAUGGAGACUUGCAAUGAUGAAUAUUCCACAGCUGAUUUUAGAGGCUUUUUAUAUUGUAAUUAAGUCCUUCAUUUCUCUCUCUGGGAGACACGGCCUUUCUGUGUGCAGGAACUUUCUAUAGGCUUCAAUUUCAUAGAAUCAUAGAAUGGCCUGGAUUGAAAAGGACCACAAUGAUCAUCUAGUUUCAGUCCUCCUGCUAUGUGCAACCACUAGACCAGGCUGCCCAGAGCCAUAUCCAGCCUUGAAUGCCUCCAGGUAGUAAAACAAACAGAAAACAGAACAGAGUUCUGUGAAAGAGGAUUUUUUAUUUUUUUUUUUCCCUUAUUUCCAGAAACUGAGUGAAGUCCAUCAGGAAAUGAGACUUCUGAUAUGCUUUGCCUGCACAUCUUGUACAGAAUCUUCAUUUCAGCAGAUUCUGAGAAUACCUAAACAGUAUGGGCUUUGAAUUUAAUAACUGUUACUUGCUCAUCUUUUUAAAUGUAGUUUUCUAGUGACUUCCAGAUCCCCCUCUGUAUCCACCUCUUUCUGUCAAAAUAUUUCCUAAUGGCAGACAUUUGCUAUAGUACAUACUCAGAACCUGUUUUUUCCUAAACCAUCACAGGGCUGGAUAAAAUGCCUGUUGAAGAGCAGUUGGCUUGACAACCUCAUCUUGGCUCAUAUAGGCCUGCUGUUGUUUCUUACUGUCUUCUAAAUAUUUACAAAUAGGCUGGUUCAAACUGGCAGAUGAGAAAAAAAUGCAACUAGAAUCUGGUUCAUUAAUGAAGAAAUUAAUGAAUCCUUUCAAUAAGAGAAGCCUUGAACUGAUCACUUUUCAAGCUGUUAGGUUUCUAAGCGAUUUUCAGCUAAAAUAUUCUUGAAGGUUUUGUGAAGAGGAUAAAUGUGACCCUCCAGAAUGUGGUGGUGCAGCCCAAUCGAAGGGAAAUGGGUGCUGCCUCCAAGCAAUGUGUAGAACACAAACAUAAUUCUGCUCAAUACAGAAAGUUGGUGGAACUUCAGUCAUUUGGUCCCACGUGCAAUCUCAUUUACAGUAUGCACUUAACCAUUUCAUGUGAGAGUGUGGGUUGUAGGCAUCCACUCCUUUGUGUUUCUGUCCCCGAGACCAUAGCUUUUUUAUAAACAACAGGAUAAUUAUUUAUCCUUUCUAUUUAGAAAUUGAGGUAUACAAUAGGGUAUGGGGUUGCUCUACAGAAGUGGCUUGAAUCUGCCAGAAGAGAUCAUUAUCUAUCUGAUGUAGAAGAUAAGGGGAAGGAAUCCCAUCAAUCCUCAAAUGAAAACGAGGUCUUGAUAAGUUUGAUUGGAGAUGAAUUCUCAUUCACUUUAAAUUUUGGAAAGAAAAGUCUGGUCUUUCUGGGAACACUAAUUUAAAGGCUACAACAAAUAGGAAUUCUGUAAGAGCAUAUUGUAAAAGCUAGAUUUGUUGCAACUAAGGCAUUUAAAUUAAUGGUCUGUAAGGUCUGAAUUGCAAAAACAAACACAAUUCUACUUUCUCAUGCUUUUUGUUGGAACGUGGGAAUCUGUGGGCUAUACAUAAGCUUAUUUUACAUAAUUUAAAAUAUCUUUUACAAAACAAUCCAUUUAAUCAUGUCA
ensembl:lncRNA